AUGUGAAUGGGCCACAACAUCUAAAGGAACUGGGGCACCUGGGAGUUUUUGUUUCCGUUAUUUCACUUGGAGCCAGUGGCUUUCAGAGCGGGGGACCAGUGGCACCACAGAGCUCCCUUUGAAUGACCUUGGAUGAGUGACUAUUCACCCCCAUUAUAUUCUCCAUCUGUCAGAUGGAGACUGUGGUGUAAACCCCAUGUGGCUGGGAGGACUAACCAAGGUCCACAUCUCCAGGGCCGCUCUUAGCUCAGAGUCUUUCUGAGGGAAACUGCCUGGCACCAGUCCAUGUUGAAGGGGUCAGCCUAUUGGAACCUGCCCUCUCAGAUAGGUAAGAUCCAAGGAUGUCAGCCGCAAGCUUCCAGUCCCUAGAUGAGAACUUAGAGUAGGGCCAAGAGAGCUCUCUCAAGGAUAAAAAUAGAGUUGCUGUGAAGAUGAAGUAAAUUAAGACAUGCUGAGAACUCAGAACAAUGCUUGGCAACAGUAAUUGUUUAAUGCGUGCUAUUAUUAACAAGUCAUAGUCUUUCCCA
rnacentral:lncRNA from 1 species